rnacentral:rRNA from 1 species
UACGGAGGGUGCUAGCGUUGUUCGGAAUUACUGGGCUUAAAGCGCGUGUAGGCGGAGUGUCAGGUGCCUUGUGAAAUCCCCGGGCUCAACCCGGGAAUUGCUGGGCAAACGGGCAUUCUUGAGGCAGGCAGAGGUGAGUGGAACAACUGGUGGAGCGGUGAAAUGCGUAGAUAUCAGUUGGAACGCCGGAGGCGAAAGCGAUUCACUGGGCCUGUCCUGACGCUGAGACGCGAAAGCGUGGGUAGCAAACAGG